CGAUACGAGUUUGAUCAUGGCUCAGGAUGAACGCUAGCGGCAGGCUUAAUACAUGCAAGUCAAGGGGGUAGCAAUACAACCGGCGCACGGGUGAGUAACGCGUACACAACAUGCCAUAUACUGGGGUAUAGCUUUGGGAAACUGAAGGUAAUCCCCCAUAGUAUUGCGGGUAGGCAUCUAUCUGCAAUUAAAGUUUCGACGGUAUAUGAUUGGUGUGCGUUCCAUUAGCUAGUUGGUAGGGUAACGGCCUACCAAGGCGACGAUGGGUAGCUGGCGUGAGAGCGCGACCAGCCACACUGGAACUGAGACACGGUCCAGACUCCUACGGGAGGCAGCAGUAGGGAAUAUUGGACAAUGGGCGAAAGCCUGAUCCAGCCAUGCCGCGUGAUAGAUGAAGGCCCUCUGGGUUGUAAAUAUCUUUUAUCUGGGAAGAAACUCCUCUAUUCUUAGAGGCCUGACGGUACCAGAGGAAUAAGCACCGGCUAACUCCGUG
rnacentral:rRNA from 1 species